rnacentral:rRNA from 1 species
UACGGGGGGGGCAAGCGUUGUUCGGAAUCAUUGGGCGUAAAGCGCGCGUAGGUGGCCCCAUAAGUCCGCUGUGAAAGUCAAAGGCUCAACCUUUGAAAGCCGGUGGAUACUGUGGGACUAGAGUACGGAAGAGGCGAGUGGAAUUCCUGGUGUAGCGGUGGAAUGCGCAGAUAUCAGGAGGAACACCAAUAGCGAAGGCAGCUCGCUGGGACGUUACUGACACUGAGGCGCGAAAGCGUGGGGAGCGAACAGG